CCUCCAGAGCCACAUCGUUGGGGUGUAAAUAGAAGCCCAGGGAGAGGUAGUGUAGGAGGUCCACAGAUGCAAGUUGGUCAGGGGGUUGGCAGCAGC